rnacentral:rRNA from 1 species
AGAGUUUGAUCAUGGCUCAGAACGAACGCUGGCGGCGCGCUUAACACAUGCAAGUCGAGCGGUCACUUUCGGGUGGCAGCGGCGGACGGGUGAGUAACGCGUGGGAACCUGCCCCUUGGUUCGGGACAACCGCGGGAAACUGCGGCUGACACCGGAUGUGACCCGAAAGGGUGAAAGUUUACGCCAGGGGAUGGGCCCGCGUCCGAUUAGCUAGUUGGUGGGGUAACGGCUCACCAAGGCUGUGAUCGGUAGCUGGUCUGAGAGGAUGGCCAGCCACACUGGGACUGAGACACGGCCCAGACUCCUACGGGAGGCAGCAGUGGGGAAUCUUGGACAAUGGGCGCAAGCCUGAUCCAGCGACGCCGCGUGGGUGAUGAAGGCCUUCGGGUUGUAAAGCCCUUUUCCUGGGGGCGAUGAUGACGGUACCCGGGGAAUAAGCACCGGCUAACUCCGUGCCAGCAGCCGCGGUAAUUC